rnacentral:rRNA from 1 species
UACGAAGGGGGCUAGCGUUGCUCGGAAUCACUGGGCGUAAAGGGUGCGUAGGCGGGUCUUUAAGUCAGGGGGCAAAUCCUGGAGCUCAACUCCAGAACUGCCUUUGAUACUGAGGAUCUUGAGUUCGGGAGAGGUGAGUGGAACUGCGAGUGUAGAGGUGAAAUUCGUAGAUAUUCGCAAGAACACCAGUGGCGAAGGCGGCUCACUGGCCCGAUACUGACGCUGAGACGCGAAAGCGUGGGGAGCAAACAGG